rnacentral:rRNA from 1 species
ACGGGUGAGUAACGCGUGAGCAAUCUGCCUCACGAGAGGGGGACAACAGCUGGAAACGGCUGCUAAUACCGCAUAAGACCACACUACAGCAUUGUAGAGGGUAAAAGGAGCGAUCCGGCUUUGAGAUGAGCUCGCGUCCCAUUAGUUAGUUGGCGGGGUAACGGCCCACCAAGACGACGAUGGGUAGCCGACCUGAGAGGGUCGAUCGGCCACACUGGAACUGAGACACGGUCCAGACUCCUACGGGAGGCAGCAGUGGGGAAUAUUGGGCAAUGGGCGAAAGCCUGAACCCCCAGCAACGCCGCGUGAAGGAAGAAGGUCUUCGGAGUUGUAAACAUCUGUCCUAGUGGGACGAAGGAAGUGACGGUACCUAUAGGAGGAAGCCCCGGCUAACUACGUGCCAGCAGCCGC